AUAAGCGGAGGAAAAGAAACCAACAGGGAUUGCCUUAGUAACGGCGAGUGAAGCGGCAAAAGCUCAAAUUUGAAAUCUAGCACUUUCAGUGUUCGAGUUGUAAUUUGAAGAAGGUAACUUUGGAAUUGGCUCUUGUCUAUGUUCCUUGGAACAGGACGUCACAGAGGGUGAGAAUCCCGUGCGAUGAGAUGUCCAAUUCUAUGUAAAGUGCUUUCGAAGAGUCGAGUUGUUUGGGAAUGCAGCUCUAAGUGGGUGGUAAAUUCCAUCUAAAGCUAAAUAUUGGCGAGAGACCGAUAGCGAACAAGUACAGUGAUGGAAAGAUGAAAAGAACUUUGAAAAGAGAGUGAAAAAGUACGUGAAAUUGUUGAAAGGGAAGGGCUUGAGAUCAGACUUGGUAUUUUGUGUUCCUUAUCCUUCUUGGAUUAGGUUCCUCACAGCUUACCGGGCCAGCAUCGGUUUGGAUGGCAGGAUAAUGACAUUGGAAUGUAGCUUUGCUUCGGUGAAGUGUUAUAGACUUUGUUGAUACUGCCUAUCUAGACCGAGGACUGCGUCUUUGA
rnacentral:rRNA from 1 species